UAGUAGUGCCUGUGCCCCUGGGCAGCUUGGAGAAGAAGGUGGACUGGAAAAUCGUCAUUUGAGAACCAGAGGAGAAAAGAAAACGCAACGUUAAUUCUAGAAGCCCAGUUUAUUGUGGUAGGGCCAACUGAUCCCAUCCUGGGCUACGGUCGGAGAAAACACUACGUUACGCCUGCCAUCUG